AUUCUUUCAUUCGUUCCCUCGUCUUUUUUUUUGUUUUUCGAAAAUUUCCGCUUAUAAAAGUAAAGUGUGUCGAAGCUGUCUUAUAAAAAAGUGUCUUAAGUGAUAGAGAAGAGAAAAAAAAAUGAAUUUCUAAAACUAUGAAAACUAUAAGUGUAGUGUUCCAGUGAAAUUUUGAACCUGCAUCCUGCACAACUCCGGUGGUUUUAAAAUUGCGUUUCAUACAAGAUAAUCAAUCAUGCCGGUUUUCAUGGGUAUGCGGUUUUUUUACUACCGCGUACUUCAUUUCUCACGGGAUAUCAAUCGAAGGCUUGCCACCAUCCUGGGGAUCCUGUACCAAGGCUACUUUCCACCAUUGAUGGCUCUGGACUUGAUAGAUGAGAUUGAGCAGGUCACUGGCCUUAACCCCCCUGUCAUCCUAUCCGAUCUCUACUACCACCUCGAGCGGGUUAAUGAUGUACGGAUUGCACGGUAUACUCGUGCCCGAAUUUCCAUUGAGGAAUGUAAUAGGCCGUACCACUAUGAGGGUGAUCUGGUCCCCAUCCAGGAUCUUUUAUACUGCAUCCAGGAUUUGUUGGAUAGGACGGCUUAAGAUCUCCUGAUAUUUGCUUUAUUUAUUUAUUUAUUUUUUUUUUAAUAUGAAAGUUAUUUAUUAAUAAUAUUGA